AUAUAUAGGACAACACUUGUACACACCCUAUCCACGCAUUUCUUUUCCUUUAUCCUUUAAAUAAACUAAAUUCUAAAACCCACUUUAAUCGACCAUCGGAAUAUUCAAAUGAUUCCCUUCGCCGGUGAAAAUCGUUAAUUUUAGUCCAUUUUCAUACAGUAGAAUAAAUAUAUAUUUUAAAUUUCACAAUAGUACUCAUUAUUAAUACCACCAUUACAAAUACAAAAUGUAUCACUUAGCCUCUCAAAUUCACCCUCAUCUUCAUUUCCUCUCUAAGCUCACACACUAAAUUAUUUUCAGACAUUUCAGAUUUGAAAGGUGAAAUUAAUAAUGGAACCACCAGGAAACGACGUCGUUGCAUUUGCGUUUGAGUCAGCUGAGAAAAUAAUACUCCGUUGGGAUUCAACAGCAUCAGAAGAUUCUCGUGAGAAGAUGAUCUUCGCUGGCGAUCGCAACGAGAUCGAUCGUUACCUCUCCGCCGUUGAUGAAAUCCAACGGUCAAUGGAAUCCGCUACACUUUCAGAUGAUCAAAACAAAGUCAAUAGUGCGAUCCAGAUCGCUAUGGCUCGUCUUGAAGACGAGUUUCGUAAUAUUCUAAUAGCACAUACAACUCCAAUGGAAGCUGAAUCACUAACUGACACGUGUCCUUUACCUGAAGAAGAAGAAGAAGAAGAAGAAUACGAGGAGGAGGAUAAUGUUGACUCACCGUUGACUACUAAGGAGUUUGAGCAUCAAGAGAGUCAUAGUAGCUGUAGUUAUCGAUCUACGAAUAGUAUUCGUGAGAUCGAUCUAAUGCCUUGUCAAGCGAUUGAUGAUCUUCGAUGUAUAGCUGAGAGAAUGAUUUCAGCUGGAUAUCUUAGGGAGUGUAUUCAGGUGUAUGGCAGUGUACGCAAGUCUGCUGUGGACUCAAGUUUCCGACGUCUAGGUAUAGAGAAACUGAGUAUUGGAGAUAUUCAGAGAUUAGAAUGGGAAACACUGGAAAUGAAAAUCAGGCGGUGGAUAAGAGCUGCAAAAGUAUGCGUUCGCAUACUUUUCGCUAGUGAGAAGAAAUUAUGUGAGCAGAUUUUUGGAGAUUUGAGAACUGCAACUGAUGAUGCUUGUUUUAUGGAGACAAUUAAAGGUCCAGCUAUUCAGUUAUUUAAUUUCGCUGAAGCUAUUAGUAUUAGUAGAAGAUCACCUGAGAAGUUGUUUAAGAUAUUGGAUCUACAUGAUGCUUUAUCGGAUUUGUUGGUGGAUAUUGAGAUUGUUUUUGAUUCGAAAUCAUCGGAGUCGAUUAGGGUUCAAGCUGUAGAGAUAUUAUCUAGGUUAGCUGAGGCUGCUAGAGGGAUAUUAUCGGAAUUUGAAAAUGCAGUGCUUAGAGAACCUUCUAAAGUUCCUGUCCCUGGAGGGACAAUACAUCCUUUGACUAGGUAUGUUAUGAACUACAUAAGUUUAAUCUCGGAUUACAAACAGACUAUGUCUGAAUUGAUUGUGUCAAAGCCGACAACGGGGUCUAGGUAUUCUAGUGAUCCUAACACCCCUGAUAUGGAGUUCGGGGAACUAGAAGGGCAGACCCCGUUGGCGCUUCAUUUGAUUUGGAUUUCUGUGAUUUUGCAGUUCAAUUUGGAAGGAAAGUCUAAGUGCUAUAGAGAUACUUCAUUGGCGCAUUUAUUUAUGAUGAACAAUGUACAUUAUAUUGUUCAGAAGAUUAAAGGGUCGCCUGAGUUAAGGGAGAUGGUUGGGGAUGAUUGUUUAAGGAGAUUAACAGGGAAAUUCAGACAAGCAGCUACAAACUACCAGAGAUCAACCUGGAUAUAUGUUUUGCAUUGUUUGCGAGAUGAGGGUUUACAUGUUAAAGGCAAUUUUUCAUCUGGGGUGUCUAAGAGUGCGUUGAGAGAGCGGUUUAAGACGUUUAAUGCUAUGUUUGAAGAGGUGCAUAGGACUCAAUCCACCUGGUUGAUUCCGGAUACUCAGCUCCGAGAGGAGCUGCGUAUUUCUGUAUCCGAGAAGUUGAUCCCAGCUUAUAGAUCAUUUCUCGGAAGGUUCAGGAAUCAUAUUGAGAGUGGAAGGCAUCCGGAAAACUAUAUCAAGUAUUCCGGUGAGGACAUUGAGAAUGCUGUCUUGGAUUUCUUUGAGGGGUACCAAGUUCAACAACACAUAAGAAGAAGAUCUCAGUGAAAGGAUAUAUGUUUCAGUAAUUAGAAUUUUAGGACAUUCGUUGAAUUUUUUUGUGGAGUCAUUUAGGAGCUGAGGUUUUGGCAUUCUGGAGUUCAUGUAUUGUCGCGCAAAGCAGAAAAUUUUGGGAAGAUCAGCUGUAUCUAUGAUAGUCUGCGCCUCUGCCUGAAUGCUCCUGCCCUGUCACCCUCGGAAGCCUAUGCCUCUUAUCAGGUGCUUAAUAUAGUCUGAACAUUGAAGGCAACAUUCCCAAGGACAAUAUCCCUAACAACUGAAUUCUUUGAAGCAAACUAGAUUUUCAAACUCCAUUAACAAUAUCAUAAUUUAUUGUAUUUCACUUGCUGUCUUCUUACUGCUUAUAAGUUAAAAAACAUCAGUGAAAUGAAAACAGUUACAUCAUGAUUCUCCAACUGUAACACUGGAAGUCCUUGUGGCAUGACAGUUUGCCUGUGUAUUUGGUAAAGCAUAAACAGAACCUACCGACCACUUUGAUUGUUUAAUACUCUCAAAACAUGAAUGCUUACCUUAUCUCAAAAUGAAAGAACAUAGAGUGAUAUUCUCUUGUAAGCUAGAAAUUGAACACUUAACACACGUAUUUGAAAAAGAGAAGAAGCAGAAUUGGAACUCUGAAAAAUUUGCUAUAUUCAGAACAUAAUAGAAGUGGAUACUUCCUGCUUGCUUACAAGGAGCAUUUGUGUUAAUGAGCUCGCUGAAGUGGUUCAGAUUGUUAGUUUCCAAAUG